rnacentral:rRNA from 1 species
AGUGAACGCUGGCGGCGUGCCUAAUACAUGCAAGUCGAACGGAGUGGCGCACGGGUGAGUAAUAUAUAGCUAACUUGCCCAUUACUAAGGGACAACAGUUGGAAACGACUGCUAAUACCUUCUAGUAAUGGAUAGGGCUAUAUCGUAUCAGCUAGUUGGUAAGGUAACGGCUUACCAAGGCUAUGACUCGUAACUGGUCUGAGAGGAUGAUCAGCAGCACGGUAACUGAGACACGAUCCAGACUCAUACGGGAGGCAGCAGUAGGGAAUAUUGCUCAAGGGGGGAAUCCCUGAAGCAGCAACGCCGCGUGGAGGACGACAAUUUUCGGGGCGGAAACUCCUUUUAUUGGGAAAGCGGUACCCAAGGAAUAAGCACCGGCUAACUCCGUGCCAGCAGCCGCGGUAAUUC